GGCGGCAGGCCUAACACAUGCAAGUCGAGCGGCAGCACGGGUACUUGUACCUGGUGGCGAGCGGCGGACGGGUGAGUAAUGCCUAGGAAUCUGCCUGGUAGUGGGGGAUAACGCUCGGAAACGGACGCUAAUACCGCAUACGUCCUACGGGAGAAAGCAGGGGACCUUCGGGCCUUGCGCUAUCAGAUGAGCCUAGGUCGGAUUAGCUAGUUGGUGAGGUAAUGGCUCACCAAGGCGACGAUCCGUAACUGGUCUGAGAGGAUGAUCAGUCACACUGGAACUGAGACACGGUCCAGACUCCUACGGGAGGCAGCAGUGGGGAAUAUUGGACAAUGGGCGAAAGCCUGAUCCAGCCAUGCCGCGUGUGUGAAGAAGGUCUUCGGAUUGUAAAGCACUUUAAGUUGGGAGGAAGGGCAGUAAAUUAAUACUUUGCUGUUUUGACGUUACCGACAGAAUAAGCGCCG
rnacentral:rRNA from 1 species